CAUGUCCUUUUGAGUUUAAUUUAAGGUCUAAUCUGCUCAAUGAAGAUUAAAUAGCCGCAGUAUUUUAACUGUGCAAAGGUAGCAUAAUAAUUAGUUUCUUAAUUAGGAACUGGAAUGAAUGAUUGGACAAGAAAAUAUCUGUCUCUUUUUUAAAUUUUUUGAAUUUUAUUUUUAAGUGAAAAAGCUUAAAUUUUUAUAAAAGACGAGAAGACCCUAUAGAGUUUUAUAUAAUUGAGUAAUUUAAACUUGGGAAUAAAUUUUAUUUAAUUUUAUUUGGUUGGGGUGAUUUAAAGAUAUAAAUAAUUCUUUAAUUUGAAAAUUGGUGAUUUCUAAAUUUUAAAUCUAUAUUUUGUAAAAAUAAAAUAAAUUACCUUAGGGAUAACAGCGUAAUUUUUCUUAAAAGUUCAUAUUAAAAGGAAAGUUUGCGACCUCGAUGUUGGAUUAAAAUUAAUUUUUGGUGCAAUAGCUUAAAAAUUAGGUCUGUUCGACCUUUAAAAUUUUACAUGAUCUGAGUUUAAAUCGGCGUGAGCCAGGUUGGAUUCUAUCUUUAGAAUGUUAAUAUAUUUUAGUACGAAAGGACCAAAUAUUUAUUAAAUUAAUU
rnacentral:rRNA from 1 species